CAUUCACACAGACGUCGCGCGAAAGGCGGGGCUUAGCGUUUGAUUGGCAUUGUGUGUGUCCGAAUAGUUAGCCACGGGACCCACGAAUACUGAAAGCUUUGAAUAUCUGACCGGGACGACUCGGGACAACCUAGAUUUGGCACUUGGCUGGAGCAGUGGAUGAGAAGUUUGUAGCAGAUCGGGGAGGGAGUGGGAACAGCAUCGGCCACAAAUCAUUUGACCAUUGAAGAUUUUGUCACUUUGAAAGCCCAGACACGACAGCAUGGACUUGCAGUAUGUUUAUGAGCAGGAUUGGGACAAAGAGAGUGAGACUUCCAG
rnacentral:lncRNA from 1 species